GGAGAGAUGGCAGAGCGGUCGAUUGCGGCGGUCUUGAAAACCGUUGAGGUUAACAGCCUCCGGGGGUUCGAAUCCCUCUCUCUCCGCCU
rnacentral:tRNA from 1 species